rnacentral:lncRNA from 1 species
GUCAAAAAUUGUUCAAUGGAGAUGAGAGAUUAAAUUUUUUACACAUUUUUGAAAUGUUACUGAUGAAAUUCUAAUAGAAAUGCAAAGUAUACUGCAAUGGAAAUCUUGAAUCACCAUGCGUUCUCAAUAAUCGUGAAGAAAAUCCUAUUGGAUAAUGACGAGGUGCGGCAUGUGGGGGGGAAGUAAUUUGACGACAUGGCAACACAUUAUUGGCAAAUGUGAUUGGCUAUGCUCUGUAAGCUCACGUGACGUCGACAGUGUGCUCCGAUUCGUUUAUUUACCAGAAACCUUUCGUGAAAAACGUUCUGGUCACGUGAUGCUUAGUCGCCAUCUUGCCAUUCAACAUUUUGUCAACUAUAGGCCGAGAAGUGAGAGAGUAUCGGGCUUAAGGUGCCUAUUUGGUGCAAAUUAUCUCGCGUUCUUGACAAAUAAUUAAAAGACUCUGAACAUUGACAUUACGGCAGGUGAGAUGAUCAUCGAUUACCUUCGUCUGGGAAUAUGGUUUAAACCGUUCAAAUGACGCGCGAUGGUUAAGGAUAGUUUUCCCGCCGUACGUUAGGGUUUUAAAAAGAUGAAAAGUUGAAAUAAAAGAAUCAUCAAAUCAGCCGUGAUCCAC